GGGGGGGGGGGGGGGGGGGGGCGGGCGUGGAGGUGGGGGGGCAGCGGGGUAGGGGGUGGCGGUGCGGGGGGGCGAGUGGCGGGCUGGGGAGUGAUACGUCGGAGUCUACUUUUUCUUUGGGUCUCACGUAGGGUUGCUUACGCUAAUACCGCAUACGACCUCGUGGUGACAGCAGUGAAUCUGCGGACCGUGCUCGAUUGACUGAGACGAGGUCGGAUUAGUUAGUUGGCGGGUGAAAGGCCCACCAAGGGGACGAUCCGUAGCUUGUCUGAGAGGAUGAUAAGACACACUGGAACUGAGACACGGUCCAGACUCCUACGGGAGGCAGCAGUGGGGAAUAUUGGACAAUGGGCGCAAGCCUGAUCCAGCCAUACCGCGUGGGUGAAGAAGGCCUUCGGGUUGUAAAGCCCUUUUGUUGGGAAAGAAAAGCAGCAGGUUAAUACCCCGCUGUUCUGACGGUACCCAAAGAAUAAGCACCGGCUAACUUCGUG
rnacentral:rRNA from 1 species